UAGAGAGAAAAAUAUUGAGAGAAAACCGGGAAAAAUCUUCAGAGCCUAGUCGAAAUUUCUAGGGUUUUAGCGACCGUUCUGCUUCAAGUUUUUUUUGAGUCUAUUUCUCUGUUUUCAAAAGAAGAUAAAAAAGAUGGCUUGAGUUUUUGGCCCUCAUUUGAGUUCAUAUUUCCAAAAAAAAAAAAAAAUUCAGAAGCAAAACUUUCUAGACUUAUUUCGUUUUUCUUGAUUUCUUUGUUCUAAAAGAAGGUUUUGGAUCGAAUUUCGAGUUUAAGUUUGUGGUUGGGUUCCGAACUUUAGUUAUUUUGGAUUUUCUGUCCAAUUUUUGGUCGAUAUUUGGAUUUGCUCGGUUGGUCUGUGGAGCUGUUGUUUUUGUUGCUGAAUCUCUCCUCCCAUUUCAGAGCUUUCUUUUGAUAUUUUUCAGCUAUUUUGCCAAUAGGUAUGUUCUCCUUAAAAUACCUUCAGAACUUUUUUUUAGAUGUGUAAUUCUGGAUUUUGUUUUAGCCUAUUCACUUGUUAUUACUUGAAUAUGGGAUUGUCUUUUAGUUCGUUUUUGUUGUUGCUAUCAGAACUUAUUAGGUUUGAUUUAUUUUCAGCAUUGAACAGAGUGUUUGUAGCUUGAUAAAAAUGAGAUUUUUGUUGGAAAUUAGAUCUCUUUGUUUACUGGUGUUUAUCUUUUGGUCUUGUUCUAGAUAGAGUGAAAAUGUUUGAUUAGUUUCCCUUACUCUGUUGAAUUUGGGUCAUACGUGGUAAGUUUCAAACUAAGGUCAACUAUUCUAUUUUGAUUCUUGUUCAAAGCUGGACGACAUUUAAAACUUACUAAGAAAUAUUUAUGUAGUUGAAAUCAUGGUCAAAAAAUCAGUCUCUCUUUGUGGAUCCACAAAUUCAAGCUAAUGACCAUGGGAGCAGUAAAAGAGUUAAUUUGUUGAAAAAGGGUGAAUUAAUAAGGUUUGGUUAAAUGAGUUAAAAUUCCAUGCUUCGAACGUUACUAGGCUUGAUUUUCUUACUUAGCUUUUAUUUACCUUUUAUUUUACUCUGUUCUUUUUGUUUCUCUUAAAAUAUUCUUCCUUGUCGUAUUCUUGUGUUAAGCUAAGUGUUAAGGACAGAAAUAAAAGAAUUGGGUUUUAACUUUAAAAGGAAAAAACAUUGGACAGGGAAUGUUGUUUUCUUAUGAAUGGAUGAGAUGUUUGAGGAUUACUCUGUUUUCUGGAAGCCAUCAAAUGGAGUGAAUGUAGGCUAAUUGAAUGGCACUUGCUGAAACUCCAAGUUUGAAAUGAUAGAAUUUAUUUGUUUAAUUUUACUUUUAAAGUUGGGGUCUAUGCAAUUCAUUAUGGUAUUCUGAAAGAUUUGUACAUAAUAUUAUGUUAACAUAAUUCAUGAUAUUACUGAUUAAAAGCCAAUUUUAUAGAUAUUUGGUUGAACCUUUACUUGUUUGAAUAUUGGUCAAGCCAUGGACAAUAAUUUAUCUUUUGUCUCUUCUGUAUGAAUUCAUGGACUCUUGCUUUAGGCAUUAAAAUACAAAGUCAAGAAUGUGAUUUUGCUUUCCAUUCUCCUUGCUGGAAAUUCAAAACACCUUUAUACUUAUGAAAGUGCAAUUCGUUAAUUUAGAAUAAGCUUUACUGCAUCAUUGGUUCAAGCAAGCUUUAUAUUAAGCUUAAUCUCUGUGCAUUUAUCCACGGGUCAUUUCUAUGAAUUUCUGAGUUUGUCACAUGAUCCCAAAUUAGCAUUAGAAUAACAACUCAUGAAUACUCGUAGUUUGCUUUAGGCUCGAUUUAGACUAGUAUUGUGAUCAUGUAUACGUUCGCGUAACAUAAUUGCAAAUUUAAUUCUUAAAAGACUCGAGGUAUGCAUUAGCGCAACUUCAACCAAAUUUUCUUAAUAAAUAAAUAAAACAUUAUUAAUUGUGGACACGUUCGCGUGAUAUGGUUUUUGACGCGCCAAAAGAAAAGAGUACACAUACGCGUAACUCGAUUCUUUAAUUACGAAUAAAUCAAGUUUUUUUAAAAGCGGUAAAAGAUAAUUGCACAUAGGUCUUAAAAAUAUGUUGUUAAACAAUUAAGCCAAAUAUAAAUUGUUAAGCGACCGUGCUAGAACCACGGAAUUCGGGAAUGCCUAACACCUUCUCCUGGGUUAACAUAAUUCCUUACCUAGAAUUUCUGGUUCGCAAACACUUUAAAAAUAAAACUUCCUCGAUUUAGGAUUUAAAAUAAACCGGUGACUUGGGAUACCAAAUAAUUUAUUCUAAGUGGCGACUCUGAUUAAUUAAUUAAUCCCAUUUCGAAUAAUGUCAGUUAAAUUGGAAAAACUCUCUUAUAUACCCUCGGGGUGUGUAAAAAAAAAGGAGGUGUGACAAUGAACACUCGAGAAGUGAAAGUCACAGUGAGAACAUCUCAAAAUAUCAAAAGACCUGCAAUUGGAAGAUCUCAAGGGCAAGGGGAAGAUUCACUAUCAGAAGCAAGAUUUCAAAAGACCCCGAUAUCUUGAUGAAAACCUACAUAGGUCUUUAGAAAAAAAAACUACCUCAAGAAGGACACAAAUGAAAAGAAAACAUGCGGUGAUCUUUAGAAAAAAAGAAAGUCGUGAAUUAAGUGUCGAAUUAGCGUCGAAUUAGCAAAGCAACAUCUAUUUUUUGUAUAAUUUGACGCUAAGUUGCGAAAGCACGUAAAUAUAUUCGCACUUCAAAAAAUAAAGAAGAUGCAAAGUGUACAGCAAAAUUUAUGAAUUUGUAUUUACAUAGUUAUAAAAAAGGGGGAGGGGGUGGGGAUGUACAAGAGAACUUUUAAGGAGAACUACGGGGACCUAAACUAUGGCCUGGGGAUUGGGAAGCGGAAGUAGAAGGGGCGUUUGGGUUAGCAUUGGUUUUCGCCGAAGGGGCAGAGGAAGUAGUGUCAACCUUCCCCCUCUUCGGUCUUCAUCAUCAAGGCCAUCAUCAUUUAAUUCCAUACUUAGCCCUUGUCUGUCAAGAUAAGGAAGACCAAGUAGAUGCCCAGGCUAAAUUGAAAACUAUCAUCUUCUGUACGUCCACAAAGGCCUCUUGAGCAGACUUCCGAUCUUUGUUAUUGGCUAAAACGCUCAACUCAACUGACUCUUAUUCAGAUCUUAUGCCAUGAAUCUUGGACUAUAACUAAGAGAAAUCCUCCCUCAGUCGUGCCUCUUUGCUCGUCUUCAAGGCUAGAUAUCCUUCGAGGGUUAGAAUUCUUUUGAAAGCCCUGAUCCACUCAGCUCAGAGGGUAGCCUCACUGGCUAAGAAUUCUUUCUUCUGAUCGGCAUUUCACUCUACUACUUUUGUUUGCACUAGGAGGGCCUCCUUCUCAGUUGUGUGCUCCUAGAUCACUUUUUGGACCUUCUCAUUUUCAAUCUUCAACAUCUUAUCAUAUCUUACCACCUCCCUUUCCAUGGCCAUAUCGAUUCGAACAUUUUUCAGGGUCCUCUAGGAUAGAGCACUAAGCUGUUUCAGAAUACAAAAAGCAAGUAAGAUAUCUUUAACAUGAUAAGUACAAAAAGAGGGUCAGUAUAGCUAACCUUAGCAGUCUUAUGAGAUAUCUGAGUCACCGACGCCUCAACACUCAUAAACUCUAUUUUGGCCCAUUCCUGCUAGUUCAGCAACUUUGCAAGUUGUGCAGCCACGGGCCUAGGGUUUGUGAAGACCCCCUCCUCCAUAGGAUAAUAAAAACUUAACAACUUUCUGAUUUCCAGCUGGUAGGCACGUAGAACCCACGAUUAACCGAGCCUCAAAACUGUCCCUCGAAUGGAACCUCACAUCUGCAGGUGGGUUGGUAGCGAUUGAUUGAUCCUUUGACUUUUAGGUAAGCGUAGUAGUCAUCCCUCCUCGGGCCUUAAAACUACAUGACGAGAGGCCUCCUUAUCAAAAUCGACCGUGAUGGGAUAGGAUCAAAUCAGCCUAUCAGUAUCAUCCUCCUGAGCAAGUUGAGAACUGCCCUAGGGAACCUCUACUUCAGCCCUAGGGCAUACUCUCCUUUGAAAGACUUGCCGCUUUCAGGUGACAACAUGAAGGUAGGUUUCGUGGAAGUGUCGGCACCAUCCCCCCGAGGUACUUAGGGAAGAAGUUCCCAAAUUAACCUUGAGGCAGUGACCACAGAGGGGAGGCUAGCUAGGGCAUGUAACUGAAAAAGGGACUCUCUUAUGGAGUCUCACCCUUGCUAGGAUUUUUUUCACAUCAAUGGAAAGAAAAGGGGAUAAAAUAAAGAUUCCACAAGGAAAGAAUUAAAUUCAUGAUUAUUGUGGUACAACACUUUAAUACCACCGAGCUUACUAGAAAUGGAUUUCUAAAUCCUCGAGUAGUUGGUUGAAACUUGUAGGAUCUCAAAUGCAUAUCCUUUAAUGUUGGGCACUCUUUCGAGAGGCACAACGAUGGCUGCAAAAACAUUGAAAAUUUAAUAAUUCAAGGUAUAUUACUGAAUCAUGAUGACUUGAAUUAUGAUUAAGAUUCCACUUCCUAGGAAUUGGUUAUUAUCGUUUGUGUAAAGAAAUUUAGUACGAACUACCAAGUGCCUUUCGAAACACCGGUAGUAAUAGUCGUCUCCAUAGUCAGAUAUCAGAGCCUACAAGCCUCGCUGCAACAUGUUAAUUAUGCCUCAUCGAUAAAUCAUGUGGGAGUAAAGGUGAAGGAGAUGCUAAAAACUGAGGCUAACUCCAGCUUUUUCAGCUAGGUGGCGGAGACAUAGAACCUCGGAAUGCAUCGAACAAAUAUAGAGUUUGAUUUUUUAUAAACAAGACAUUUUAAAGAAAAGUAAGGAAGAUGACAAAAACUCAGAGAAAUUAAAACUUGAAAGCUCGAAAGAGAUAAGUAGGUAUCAAUGGGACCUCCUUCCUCUUUUUAUAUUUGUCCAUGCGGUAUAAACUUUAGAGCCUCUUGGAACCAAAUUUGACGAAAAAUUUUAUUUUGUCUCUCAUACAACUGACACUAAUUGUAUGAGGUAAUUUUUUUGUCUCACAAUUUUGUGGACCCAAAAGUAUAAGAUUGGGGUCCACAAAUUUAUGAGAUAAAAAGGAAUCUAGUAUAAGUUGUAUAAGGCACAAAAUAAAAUUUCUCAAAUUUGACUAUGUGUCCAAAACAUUAAGUGGUGGCUAUGUCAAAUGCUAGGUACUUGAAAGGAUGCAUGACAAGAUUGGUGCAUCUUUUUACUUCAUCUUGCCCGAGAAGUAUUGAAUGUAAUUCAAAAGGAAUCUAGUUCGGACACGUGUUGUUCCAGCAUGCAGCGGAUGUCCCUAUGGUCUUAAGGAGUUGACACCAUUCGAAUAUCAACUUUUGCUUCAUGGAUAAGCUAUCUGGGACUGUGAUAAGUCCAUUCAAGAUCCGGAGAGGUAUAUCUGAUACAGUUCAAAUUUAUAAUUUGUUGUAAAAGGAAAAAAAAAGAUGGAAGGCAAACUGAUUUUAAUAUACUUAACGAGGUUCAUUACAAAAUGAGGAAUGACCUCGAACAAAACAAACACAAGAGAAGAAAAGAAGAAAACUUGGCUAACAAAGUAGUGAAUGUACUUAAACUCCUAGAUACCACUAUGGAACCCUCAAUGGUUCCCACUCACCGACUGCAGAUCUGAGAUGAAGGCCCGAAUGAAGGAGACCAGGAAGUUGAUGGACUACUCCAAGUGGUCGAAGGGCUAGGGCGCAAGCUAGGAGGUUCUUCAUGGUUGCCUUCCUCCGAGGGGUCGGUGUCGCACCCUUUUUUCUUGUGAAAGCGGGUUUGACAUCGUGAAAACUUCUUUUUGAAUGGGAGAUAGAUUAUUAAAAGAGAAGAGUCGCCACCUAACAAUUUUUAAGGUGCGCUAGGGCACCUAUUAUGCAGAUAACUUUAUUUGACUAGUCAACGUCACCAAAGAUCGGGUAAGGGCUCAAAUUACCUCAAAGAGAAGGUGUUAGACACUCUUCGAGGUCUACGACUGUGGGUCUCGGCCAAACUUAAGAUCAUGUGGAUUAUAAUUAGGCUAAGUGAUCAGAUAAACAAAGGGAAUAUAAAGGUCAAAGAAUUUUAUUGCAACACGAUUGGUACAGACCUUGAUAUGAAUAUAGGGAUACAACUAGUUAGAUCUAAUAGCAACAUGGGGGGAGGGUCCUAUGUUUUUUAGCCUAAAGGAUCUCCUCGUGCACAUAAAUAAUACUUCGCAACUCCCUUGAGAUAGGGAGUUACUCAUAUUAUUCAGCGGGCACAGACUAUCAUUCCCUGCUACUCGAUUACUAUGUUAAAGUUAUUUACCUGAAGCGUGCUAAUUCAAUUCUAAGUUGUACUUUAUGUGUGCACUAUCCGUCCCAUUCCUAUGGUCCAGGAGGUAUUGGACAUCUCCUUGGAUAGUUCUUAACAUUACUUAGGCUGCUCAGAAAUGUCAAAACUAGGCGACAUACAAAACACAUAUUGGACUUCAAAUAUGGGCAAUUAAGGGCUCAAGUUUGCCUCCACACUUAAGCAACAGAUGCACGCAAGGCAGGUUUUCAUGUUAGUCAAUUCAGAGUUUAGAACCUUAAGCUCUGUAGACAUGAUUUUUAUAUGACAAUGCAUUAAAACAUACAAGCAGUUUCAGAGGCUAGACGCUGCUCAAAGACAUAAUUAUACACGCUGAUUAUUGGGAUUACAGAUUUCCAGUUAUUAAACUUGUUGUGUCUAGAUGACUUGCGGAACAAGGAGUAAUGAAAACUAUUGGGAGAAGCCCAGAACUACUUAUGCUUGCUACCAGUGGCAUAAACAAGCAGUGAACAAUGUUUGAGAGGUUCAACAUUAAUAAUUAUUAAGGCGAAUAGUGAUAUCCUAUAGACAGGAUCUCAAACGAUUAACAUUUGGAACCAAUUUUACUGUUAUACUUAGCCCUAUAGGCAUGUUUUCUAGGUGAAGAGUGCAAUACAUUAGCAAAUGAAGUGAUCAAAAUCCUAUAGGCAUGAUUUCUAAUAAAUAGUGCGAUACAAUAGCAAAUGAAGUAAUCAGAAUCCUGUAGGCAUGAUUUCUAGUGAAUAUGAUGAUGCAAAUUGAAAGAAAAUUCAAUGAUAUUUAUUUUCUAUGGGCAUGUUUUCUAGUAACAUAUAGCAGUAGGAAUAAUUGGGACAUUUAAAUUCAUGUUCAGACAAGUAGUGCGAGUGUGUACUUCUCCUAAUAAAAUGAUUUCUACAGUACACAUAUAGAUCGAACGACAUAUAUAGCAAAUAAAUCAUUAAGUCCUAUAUGCAUAUUGUCUACCCUUUUUCAUGCAAACAUUAAGAACCUACCCAUUCCCCACUUUUACUAACACCCAAUUAUUCAUUACAAAAUUAUUACAGAACCAAUGAUAAAGUAAUUACAAAUAUUAUACAAAUAAUGACAGUAGGCCCACAGUAGCCCAAAAGAAAUACCCAGCACUGUUUGGGCCUUCAGCAAUUCUCACGUAGCAUAUCCAGAUAUCCAACAAGGAGCCAUAUUCAUCAACAUAACCCAGAAUCCAUAGAAGAGCUCAAAAACCAAAUCACACAACCAUAGAUUAACCAUAUUGCCAAGCGUUGAAUCACUUACACCAAUCAGCUUACAUAUUCAGCAGAUAAAAGGCAGAAAGGAUUGAGUGUUAGGAAUAAUUCAGGUCUCAGUAGUAGAGGGAGUGACUAAAAGACCCCAAAUCCUAGUGUGUCAGAGUUCACAAAGAUCUCAAAUGGACUCGAGCAGUGCUCACACUAGGUAGGUCAGUAGUAAGAGCCUUGGUGGCCUUGGCUUCAGCCGGUCAAGAAUGAGAGGUUCAGUAUAGCAUAGGUAACAAAUGAGAGAGAGAGGACAAUGGUUGAGGGACAGAAGUUGAGGGGAUACUCGUAUAACUUAAAGUAGACAUAGCAAGGUUGAGAACACAAAGCAACUAAUUAAACAUGUCACAAGACUUAAAAUUAGGUUCAUCAGGGGUUUAGAAGUAGGUUCAACACUUAGUAAAAUAACAAAUAGACAGCCACAUAUUGAAAGAGUUAGGGGAGAAAGAAGUUUGCAGGAUAGUCAAAGAUUAUCAUGUACAAAUGCAUAAUACACAUCGAAACCUAAAAGGUCCAAAUUGUGCUAAGAAUAUAUCCCAGUGUCAUAAGGCAGACAUAUUAAUUCUCAUCAGGAACAAAACAACAUUCAGACAUGAUAGGGGAACACACGUUGUGACCAGUCAAGUAAUCACUGAAGGAACAGGGAAUCAAUUGAGCCAAAGACAUGUUAAGGGACAUAUUAGCAGCAGGCAAGAUCAUAGAUAAAUAAAUAAAAAGGUUUUAACCCAGAUUAGAACACAUUACAUAUGUAAGACAAUCAUUGUAGAGAUUCAGAACAGAGUGGGAAAGUAAACUCAUAUCAAAUUGAAAAGGUAGGCAUUCAAACAUUGACCAGUAGACUAAUUAACUAAGGAAGGUCCAAGUUAUGCUAGGGAUUCAUCAUGAAACAGUUCAAUCACGGUAGGGGAAACACAAGUUGAGUUAUCUGUUCUAAAACCUCAAGUAAUCACUAAAGGGGUAUGGGAUCAAGUGAACAUGCUGAGGGACACUAUAGCAGAGAAACAAUUCGUAGUUAAUAGUGAAAGUCUUAACUCAGGUUAUUAAAGAUGUAGGGCAUUCAUUAUAGAGAUUCAGGACAAAGCAGGUAAGAAUAUUCAUGAAUAUCCAGGCACCAAUACAUUUAGCUAAAUGAGCUUGGGAGGGUUCAGAUUAUCCCAAUUAGCAACAUUAGGGGAAAUUUAAUGCCAAAGAGACUUAAAACGAGUGUGAAGCUAACAAAAUUGUGCAUAAAAACCAAAAAUACAUUAAGCCAUAGAUUUCAGAAGUGAGAACACAUGCAAAUCAGAAACACAUAAAAUAUGAAAUUGCAAAAGGUCAAGCGACAUACCAGCUAAACGGACAACAAUAAAGAACAAAAGAUCCACAAGAACCCAAAACCUCAAUGCGUCAAAGUUCCCAAGAGCUUCAAAAGGACCCCGGGCAAUGCUCACACCAAGACAAAGUUUGAACAAUAGAGUCUUAGUGACCUUGGCUCUCAUCCGGCCAAAAACAAAGUACAAAACAAGAGAAUGAGGGAAUCACAGAACAAAGCUCCAAUGUUUAGUGAAAAUAUAGUUACUAAAGUCUGUCUCAAAGGGGAAUGGGUAGGGGUUUAAAUAGCAGUAAAAUUGGACGAAUAAAGAAGGAAACAAAGUAAAUCAAACUUAAAAUAAGGAAAGAAAUCAUGCAAAAAUUGAUAUAGAAUCAAUUUAGGAGAGAAACGGGUAAACCCUAGUUCAAGAGGGAAAACACAAAUCGAAAGAGAUCUCAAUGAAAUCGGACUCACAUAGCAUGGUAUUAGGUGUAUAUAGACGAUAUGAUGCUCAAAAUUAAAAGGUUCAAACAACUUUAGUUUGAUCUCCGCAGAUAUCACUUGCCAAACUUAGGCAAGCACCUAAGUAAACCACAAAUGGACAACUAGCAGCGAAAGGAGACCAAUAAGGUAAGUGAAUCAAUGAUUGAUUUCAUUUUAGAGCCGGAUUUGGAGAGAUUGAGAGAUAUUGCAGCUAGGGUUCGUGAAAGAGAAGAGAGUGGAGAGUGUUUGAGGGCAACUAGUGAAAAGAAAUGGGGAUUAGGGUUUGGGUGAGGGGAUAUUAGGAGAGUGGGGGAAAUGUUAUGAGUCGUUGAGCAAUUUUGAUCAAUGGCUGGGGUUUUUUUGGGACUGGGUUGGGAAUUGGGUCAUUUGGAGUGUGCUUAGGGGUUAUUAGGCUGAUUUUGGUCCGAAAAUUAGCUCAAAGUUUGGGCCAGCCUUUUAAAUACACAUAAUUUGUCAAAAAAUAAUUUAUAAAAAUGAUUCGUAAGUAAAUAAAAAUAUUUGUAUGCACUAAAACCAUUUAAAAUAAUAAUUUAGAAUUAUAAAAAUAUAAAAUACUAUUUUGACAUAAAUAAUAUAUAAAUAAAGACCGUUUGUGUAUGAGUAUAGGUUAUAUUUUUGCAAAAUUGUGCAAAUAGCUUUUAAAAAUGCUAAUGUAAUUAUAUAAAAUGAAGUAAAAUAUUUGAAACAUAUUACAGGUGCAACUAAUAAUUUUAGGUAACUAAGUUAUCACAAAAAUAAUUUAAAGGAGUAAUUAAUAAUUAUUCAAGUAAUUUAAAUGCAGAAAAAUCAAUUUAAAAGCUCUAAACAUUAUGAAAAAUUAUAAAAAAAAAUGCUUGUAUUGAUUUGUAAACUAUAUAAUGAUGCAAAAUUAAUGUAUUGAAAGUAUAUAUAUUUUGAGAAAAUAUGAGAGCAAAAUUGGACAUCAACAGAUGCCCCUCUUUACCGGGAAUGAUGAAAGAAUUAUCGGGUAAAGAAAAUGAUGACCAAUUUUGGCCGAAUUAAAUGAGGGAUGAUAUAAUUUGAAACAAUAUGUGUCGAACCCUGGUUCCUGAAUUGCCUACAUAUCCCUUGUAUUACGGGAAUCAAGCCGUCUGUAGUUCCGGAUCGAACGGCGAACGAAAUCGAUGGGGUUGUUAUAAGAAUGAUCGUAUGUUUUGGAAAGGGUUCUUUUUGGUAGGAUAGUAUCAGAUGAAUUUAUACGAAAUCAUGAAUGUGAAUUCGAAACAUUACGGAUGUAUCACAUAGCAAAUAUUUGAACGGUCAUAGAGUAAAAGGCAGGAAUUAAUAGUGGCCGGUUAAGUUUGAAAUAAUCGCAGGAUGUGAACGUUAUGAACGGGAACCAGAGAAAAAAUUGCUCCCAUUAGGAGAAUAGUUACCUCCUGGAUUACCUACAAAACUUUAACAUGGCGCAUGCGAAUAUAUACAGGUUAUUGCGAGAAUUUAGGCGUGAUGAAAAUUCCCUUUGGACCAUGAAGGUUGUAUUUAGACGAGAGGAUAAUGUCCUUAGACCACGACGUCCUGGGCCAUGAAUCGUGUGAUAAGGAUUCACAGGCCAUGAAAUUAUGUCCUCUGGCCAUGAGGAUGGUGCCUCUGGACUAUGAUGCCUUUAAAUAAUGAUGUGCACUUUUGAGAGAUCCUCAGGACAUGGAAUGGUAUCUCCCGGUUAUGAGAAUUAUGCCUUCGGACUAUGACGCCUUUGGACAAAUUGGAGAUGUUUCAGCCCAUGAAAUAUAAAAGAUAUGAUGCUUGAUCAUAUGUGAAAUAAGACAAGACAAGGCUUAGUCUUGUGUAAGAUGAGGGCAGUGCUUAGCCUAGGUGAAUAGAUGAUGGUACUAGGUCUUAGAUAGCGUAAUGGAGAUAGUAUUUAAUCUAAUGCAAGGAAGAGGCAAUGCUUAACCUUAUACAAUUAGGGAGGCAAUGCUUAGCCUCAUGUAGGAAUAAGAGACAAUGCUCAGUCUCGAUGCAAAGAAAGGUAGUACUUAGCCUUAUGCAUUUAGGGAGGCAAUAUUUAGCCUCAUGCAAAGAGGAGACAAUGCUUAGUCUCAUGCAGGAAAAGGCAGUGCUUAGCCUUAUGCAAUUAGGGAGGCAAUGCUUAGCCUCAUGCAAAGAGGGAGACAAUGCUUAGUCUCAUGCAGGGAAAGCCAGUGCUUAGACUUAUGCAAUUAGGAAGGCAAUGCUUAGCCUCAUGCAAAGAGGAGAAAAUACUUAGUCUCAUGCAGGGAAAGACAGUGCUUAGCCUUAUGCGAAUAGGGAGGCAAUGCUUAGCCUCAUGCAAGAAAACAAUGAAUGAUAGUGAGAAAGUAAAGUAUUUCUUAGCUGGAGAUGUUUGCGCUAGAUAAUUUGUUGUCUUGAAAGUAGUGACUUGAUGUGUCUAUGGAUAUCGUUGUCUUAUUUUUCCUGCAUCCAAAGAAAAAUUGUGAGUUUUGUGGGGAAGGUUGGUUCGUGCUUUCAUUUUCCUGCUCUAUCUUUGCUCCUGCCUUGAGAUCCUAUUUGAGUUACCCUAGGUAACAUCUGGCUAUCAUAGAAAUAAAGUUUUCAAAAAAUAUGCAUGCAUUUGAUAAAUAUAGUUAUUUGAAAUGUAGUAGUAUGGGAUAUCAAGUAAUUUAGAUGAGCCAAUGACUGUGACAUAUUUUAGAGACAUUGCGUCCUCCUUGCUUUAGAAUUUUGAGGGUCCCCCUCAAAAUUCUACCCCAGUUUAAAUGCAACCUUUUGAUUGUUCCGCGUAUGACGAAGUUAGCUGAAUUUGCUUUAGAAUUUUUAGGGUCCUCCUCAAAAUUCUGCCCAGUUUCUGAUCAUGGCAAAAAUGAAGAUUUUAAUAAGACACACAAGGUUGUCUACGUAUCUCCUCUUAAACAGGAAUCAGGUCAAGCGUAGUUCAGAUAUAUCAAAUGAAGAAAUGUAAACAAUCCUAAACAUAGUAUCUCUUGACUGCGCCUACGUUGAUAGAUUUUUGCCAAAUCUCUCUACCCAUUUCUGCAAGUAUAAGUGCUCAUCCUAUUCGUACUUGAUAAACCAUGUAGGUCUUGACAAUUGGGUGAUAAUUUCCCUUUUGCUUCAUCUUGAUGCGGGAAAAUUCACUUGAGC
rnacentral:lncRNA from 1 species